rnacentral:rRNA from 1 species
CCCAGACUCCUACGGGAGGCAGCAGUGAGGAAUAUUGGUCAAUGGGCGGGAGCCUGAACCAGCCAAGUCGCGUGAGGGAAGACGGUCCUAUGGAUUGUAAACCUCUUUUGUCGGGGAGCAAAAGACGCCACGCGUGGCGUUCCGAGAGUACCCGAAGAAAAAGCAUCGGCUAACUCCGUGCCAGCAGCCGCGGUAAUACGGAGGAUGCGAGCGUUAUCCGGAUUUAUUGGGUUUAAAGGGUGCGCAGGCGGAAGAUCAAGUCAGCGGUAAAACCGGGGGGCUCAACCUCGCUCCGCCGUUGAAACUGGCAGUCUCGAGUUGGAGAGAAGUAUGCGGAAUGCGCGGUGUAGCGGUGAAAUGCAUAGAUAUCGCGCAGAACUCCGAUUGCGAAGGCAGCAUGCCGGCUCCACACUGACGCUGAGGCACGAAAGCGUGGGUAUCGAACAGGAUUAGAUACCCGUGUA